rnacentral:rRNA from 1 species
UACGUAGGGGGCGAGCGUUGUCCGGAUUUAUUGGGCGUAAAGAGCGUGUAGGCGGCCAGGUAGGUCUGCUGUGAAAACUCGAGGCUCAACCUCGAGACGUCGGCGGAAACCAUCUGGCUAGAGUCCGGAAGGAGGAGAGUGGAAUUCCUGGUGUAGCGGUGAAAUGCGCAGAUAUCAGGAAGAACACCCGUGGCGAAGGCGGCUCUCUGGGACGGUACUGACGCUGAGACGCGAAAGCGUGGGGAGCGAACAGG